GUGGUGGCUCAGUGGGAAAGCACUUGCCUAGCAUGCGUGAGGCACUGGGUUCAAUUCUCAGUACCACA
rnacentral:tRNA from 1 species